rnacentral:rRNA from 1 species
CCAGUUCGGAUCGCAGGCUGCAACCCGCCUGCGUGAAGUUGGAAUCGCUAGUAAUCGCGGAUCAGCAUGCCGCGGUGAAUACGUUCCCGGGCCUUGUACACACCGCCCGUCACACCAUGAGAGUCGGAACACCCGAAGUCCGUAGCCUAACCGCAAGGGGGCGCGGCCGAAGGUGGUUCGAUAAUUGGGUGAAGUCGUAACAAGGUAUC